AUUGAACGCUGGCGGCACGCCUAACACUUGCCAGUCGAACGAGUGGCGGACGGGUGAGAAAUGUCUGAGAAACCGCCUGAUGGAUGGGGAUAACUACUAGCAACGGUAGCGAAUCCCGAAUACCAUCGGAUAUGCCCAAAUUGGAUAAGCUAGUAGGUGGGGUAAAGGCGCACCUAGGCGACGAUCCCUAGCUAGUCCGAGAGGAUGACCAGCCACACUGGACCUGAGACACGGUCCAGACUCCUGCGGGAGGAAGCAGUGGGGAAUAGUGCACAAUGGGCGCAAGCCUGAUGCAGCCAGGCCGCGUGUAUGAAGAAGGCCUGCGUGUUGUAAAGUACCUGCAGCGGGGAGGCGUUACCCGAAGAAGAAGGACCGGCUAACUCCGUGCCAGCAGCCGCGGUGAUUG
rnacentral:rRNA from 1 species